AGCGCGGUGCGCGACUGGCGAUAGGCAUCCAGGUUUUCAACCAUUGAUGCGGACGUGGGACACCACGGGGAAGCGCACCGUUUGCGGCCAUCGGGCCAAAAAGCGUUCAGCCGUUCGCCUGGGCAGCCCUU
rnacentral:ncRNA from 2 species